AAGAGUCAUUUUCUGUGGGGCACUGCCCGGUGGCUCUGGCCCCAUGGGGCCAUUGGCCCAGCUUGCCAUUCCCUGAGCUCCGGUGGCCCAUUGUUGGAGGAGCUGUUCGCCCAGGGCAGGCCCUUGUGGACCUUUCUCAAGCUCCAGGCGGGGUCUGAGGCCCAUUUGAAGGUCAGGAGGCCCGAGCUGGUGACAGUGGUAAAACUGCUGAACGAGAAGGAGCAGGAGCUGCAGGAGACCGAGCACUUGCUGCACCAUGAGAAUGAAGAUUUAAGGAAACUUGCAGAGAAUGAAAUAACUUUGUGUCAAAAAGAAAUAACUCAGCUGAAGCAUCAGAAGAAACAGAUGAAAAUGAUUUGAUCCUGGAAGUAACUGCAGGAGUUGGAGGUCAGGAGGCAAUGUUGUUUACUUCAGAGAUAUUUGAUAGGUAUCAGCAAUAUGCUGCAUUUAAAAGAUGACAUUUUGAAACCCUGGAAUAUUUUCCAAGUGAAAUAGGUGGCCGUAGACAUGCGUCUGCCAGCACUGGGGGUUCAGAAGUCUAUAGGCACAUGAAAUUUGAAGGAGGUGUGCACAGAGUACAAAGAGUGCCAAAGACAGAAAAGCAAGGCUGCAUCCAUACUAGCACCAUGACAGUAGCAAUAUUACCCCAGCCUACUGAGAUUAAUUAAUUGAAUUGAUC
rnacentral:lncRNA from 10 species